rnacentral:tRNA from 1 species
AACAGCAUAUUUUAAAAUUUAGAAUACUAAUUUUGCGUAUUAGUGGUAGAUGUAUUAUUUUGUUGUUU